UACUAUAGUUAAAAUAUGGUAACCACAAAUUACCCAUGGUUUUGCUACACUUACCAUAGUUUAACCAUGUAUUUGUAGUAAAAUGUGGUUAUACAAAUGGAAAUCAGUAUGCCAAAAAAACAUGGUUACUACACUUGUACUAUAAUAAAACCAUCCCUGAAGGCUGCAGCACUCCAUUGACAGCAAAUGUUUCUCAUUGACAUCAUGUCACUUAAAAAUGCAGCAGUUUUGGAUGCCUUGUGAGUGAGAACAUGUUGAGGGUAAAGAGCCCUUGUACAAUAAAAACUACAUGAAACGAAAUAGAUGGCUAGCAUUUUCAAAUGCCAAAAAUAAUGGACUCAUUCAUCCAUCCCCUUUGAGCAGUUAAUGAGGAUACAUGAGUGAUAUCAUGAGUCCUCUGUGCCACUGAGGCAGUAUUAAGUGUCAUUGUGAGCUGUGUGGUUAGUGUCUGGCAUUCAGCUGGCGACAGAGUGAAGUUCUCACUUCCAUGGAAACUCACAACAGAGGAGGCCAGACUAGAGUAACUCAUGCUAGGAAUGACAUUAAACUGAUGCUCACAGAUGAAGUAAAUUUAACUCAACAACGGCUCCCAACAGAUAUUACUGAGCUGCAGGCCGUCGUCAAGCUCAGAGGUAAAUGAGAAGCAAGACGUCACAGAGGAAC
ensembl:lncRNA